GCACCUCACGGGCGGUGCGGUCCGGCGCGGGCGCGGCUUCCGGCGCCGCGGCGGCCGGGCUCGGCGCCUGCUCGGCCCCGGCCGCGGCGUGC
rnacentral:tRNA from 1 species